rnacentral:rRNA from 1 species
GAUAAACGCUGGCGGCGUGCCUAACACAUGCAAGUCGAACGUCCUGGGUUCUUCGGAACGCAGGGAGUGGCGGACGGGUGAGUACCACGUGGGUGACCUGCCUUCGAGUGAGGAAUACCGGCGAGAAAUCGCCGACAAGACCGCAUGGGCGCGCUCUGCUGCGGCGGAGCGCGCAAAGCCCUGCUUCGGGAGGGCGCUCGAAGAGGGGCCUGCGCCCGAUUAGCUGGUUGGUGAGGUAAGGGCUCACCAAGGCGACGAUCGGUAGCUGGUCUGAGAG